rnacentral:rRNA from 1 species
UACGUAGGGUGCAAGCGUUGUCCGGAAUUAUUGGGCGUAAAGAGCUCGUAGGCGGUCUGUCGCGUCUGGUGUGAAAAUCCAGGGCUUAACCCUGGACCUGCAUCGGGUACGGGCAGACUAGAGUGCGGUAGGGGAGAUCGGAAUUCCUGGUGUAGCGGUGAAAUGCGUAGAUAUUGGGAGGAACACCGGUGGCGAAGGCGGCCCUCUGGACCGGUACUGACGCUGAUGCGCGAAAGCGUGGGGAGCAAACGGG